AUUGAGGUAGUAAUCCUGCCUCCUUCUCUGUCUGUCUCUCUGUCUCUCUGUCUGUCUCUCUGUCUGUCUCUCCAGUCCAGCGUCUCCUCUCAGCUCGCUGACUGAACGACCAGAAAGAGGUUUUCGGAGGGCAGACAGUGACGACAGCUCCUCCCUCUCCCUGCACCCCGCCAAAAAAGCUCCGCCCAACGGCUCCCCCGCCAGUCAGCGCUCUCAGAGCUUUGAGCACGACGGCAGACGCCCACAGCCGCUUCCUCGAAAAUCACUGCCUCGAGGUGCGACGAGCCGCCGGGUGGAGGCGUUGUACGACUGUCAGGCCGACCACCACGAUGAGCUGAGCUUCUCUGAGGGACAGGUGCUGGUGGUUCUGGGACAGGAGGACAGUGAUUGGUGGCACGGUUACAUAGAGGAUGAACCGGACCAGAGGGGGUUGUUUCCGUCCUCCUUCGUCCAGCUGCUUUUAGACUGACAUGAACCUGGACCAAACCAGACCAGGACCAGUACAGACCCUGGACCAGUACAGAUCCAGAACACAUCAGUUAGCCUGGAGAACCAGAACCUGGAGCUCGUGUUCAGCUCUGAGCAGCAGAAGAUGAACGCAGGUCAGACUUUCGGGUUUCUGUUUCUCUCGACCUCCCGGGACCGGAUUGAUCUGCCCCAGUCAGCCAUGUUGUCAUGGCAACCAGUGUUCCUUAUGCCUUCUGUUACCAUGGAAACCUUAUAACCUUUUAAUGACCUUUAUGUAGCUCGGGUCACGUGAUAAUGUUGCCAUGGAGACUGCCUCGCACAAACCACUAAGCGACGAUUCAAGUCUGACGUUGACGAUACUUUUAUUUAUUUAUUUAUUUAUUUUAAUUUCAAUAUAUUUUAAUAUGUGCACAAAUACUUCAAAAUAAAAUGAUCCACUGGACUUUAAUUUUGAAGUUGUAAUGAACAACUUGUUCUUAUGGUCUAAUUUACUGUAGCGUUUUUAUUGUUAAUGAUCCAGUGCAGCUUCUGUCGCGUCUCAGGCUCCGCCUACCUGGAAGGGCGGGGCUUAAAAGGUCAAAUAAGUGACCAGAGCACAAAGGAUUGUGGGAUACUGAGGACCAAAGAAUGAAUAAAUAGGAAGAUGCUAGGCCGUCGUCCCCGAACGAUUCUCUGAAUGAAACUGGUAUAAUGUGCAAGCGUCAGCAGUUGAGUUCGCAGCUGACGAUAAAGGUUCGGCUUUAAAGUGACUGUCGGGUUAAAAGGCUGCAAGAUUAUUUUCAUCAUCCCGUGAUUUAUCUAAAAAUUCACCCCAAAAUAAGAAUAAGAAACAUGUUUCACUAAUGCAUAAAUAACUGUAUUAAAUUAUCUUCUCCUUUAACAAAUAUAACAUCAGCAGCUUAAUUUAAAAUAAGUCAAAUCUCCACAUCACUACUGUUAUGAGUCGGAGCUUAUAUUUAUUAUCGGGUUAAAUAACGGCCUGUUAGUGUUGACGCUCGCACAAUAUGCCCUCGAUGAUGUCCGGUGACAUCCUGACAUCUACCAGAUAAAUACCAGUCGUCUGCUCUAAUUCGGGUAACACCGGAGGAGGCGGGGCCUGAAAUGCGACACAGCUGACGCUUUCAGUUGCCUUCGAUGUCACGAGAUAUCCCAACGCCUCAGCGAGUACGGUCGUGUGUUGCUGCCACUUACACGAAAAUACAUUUUCUCUUAAAAUGAGGACAUUUUCUCUUUUUGAAAGAUCUUUUUCUUUAAUGACAUUUCGUUAUCACUACAUACAAAAUGAUUCUUUUUAACUUUCAUAUAACUUAUCACUCGUUAUAUAUCAGUAAACUUUUCUUGUUUUAAAGCGCCAGUUUAUCACGUUAAAGGAAGACACGUUUAUGACAACAUCAUAAAAAGUUUCAUGAUGGAAAAAGAAAAUGCUUUGUGGUAAUGAAACAGAAUAAUUUGGUAUGUAGUGAUGACAAGAUCAUAACAGUAACGACUGAAACAUCCGAUACUGAAAACUGAGCUGAAAGUUUGUUUUUUUAAUCAUAGUGGCAGCAACACUGUCAUAUAAGGGAACUUUACUGACGUCAAAUUUCUCAGCAAAACUUCUCUCAUCUGGGUUUGAUUGUCUCAACAUUUACCUCCAGAACUUUUUAUAGAAAAAAAAAACUUUAAAUGUUGUUUCAUAUUUUUUUAUUUUAUUCAAAGUGACAGCGCUUGGUUUAUGUUGUUUUGAAACAUCACAGUGCUUCUGUCUGUUUGGUAGCUAUAAAUGAAUGACUUGAUGAUCAGCAGGAUGCUUGUUUGAUAAAACAGAAGGAAAUGUAAGUUUCACUUAAGAGUCACAGUUAAAAUAUGAUGAUCUGAAUUAAAGCUAAAGUAAGAUACAUCAUGAUUUGAUUUAAUCCGCAUCUUCCCGCAUUCCUGAUGGAGGUAAUUUCCAGACUGCAGGGAAUCUAAGCACAACUUUGGAUUUAAACUCACAACAAACUUGAUUUUGUUCAGUGUGAGGAAGUAAAUCUUUUUACUACAACUUAGUCUGCACAUUUCUAAACUGUUCAUCCGGAUGUGAGGUCCAGCUCAGGACUCUGGAGGGCUGCUGCUCUGUCAUUAAGUGGCUGCGAGUUCCUCAUAAAGUGGAUAAUUUCCCAGUUUAUCAGCAGGAGUUUUUUUUUUUUCCUGGAGAAGUCGACAAAGUGCUAAAUCAAGCAGCAGAUGUUUCAGAUUAAACCGUGGCUUCAGAUGACUCAGCGUUCGACUUGUUCCAGACAAACUGGGAUAAAGUCUAAACUGCAGCCGAGUUAACGACACAGCAGCCGCCUCCAGAUAAUAAUUCAGCAUUUAUGAUUAUUUAUAGAGGUCUCAGUCUGCUUCAAACAAAGUGUCGGCUCGUCCAAAAACUCCCUUUUCCAACAGCUGCAUUUGACAGUUUUUGUCUCUACAAAGACAGAUUUGUUGGACGGAGCUCAGGGAAACUGCGAGACGCAGCCAGGAGGAGUUUAUGAUGGCGGGCUUUUCACUCCUGCUCAGAACAACUCUUAGCACUUCGUAUGACCUACUUCUUUUCUAGCAUAUCCCGGCCUUCAGUUGUCGUACCAGCAAGUGUGUUUGAAGCAGACUGAAGUCUUUACGGAGCGUUUUCACACUGGCAGGUUUGGUCUGAAUCAAAGAGAAACAGUCAUUGCGUCGUAUUAUCGGAGUUCAACAGAUGUGCAGUAAAAGAUGCGGUCUGAACUCACAAAAAGGCACAAAAGCUCGCACAACUAAAAGCACAGCACUGAGGUUAGAGCACUCAGAAACGUUCGUGUACUUCAUAUAUGAAGCACAAAAACUAAAUCCGCAAGAGAGCAGAUCAGAUCUUUAUCGCUCAACAUUAGUCCACAAAACCGGUAACAUCCGCUAGUCGCUGAAAAUUAAGAGCUGCGUACUCGUGCAACAGAUUAGCAGAUAAAUCAGUUUCUAAGAUCCUUUAAGGCAGCAGAGGAUAAUUAUUAUUAUUUUUGAUUUUUUUAACAAAAUUUUGAACUUCUGGAAAUCUGGCAAUCUGCGAUUUUUUAAUUAAUUAAAUAUAUUAUAUAUGAGACAAAAACCAAGUAUAAAGAAGUCUUUGAAAAUAAAAUCUAUGACGACAUGUAUUACAGUUUUUGUCUACGCAUAAAAACUAUAUGAAAAAUGAACGGAUGGACAAAUUAAUUAUUGUUUUAACGCGUUUCCUACGCAAACUUAUACAUUCUUCUUAAGGCUAACUCCCUUUAGAUACGGAAAUAGAUACGUCUGUGUCAAAUGUUGUAAACAGCAGCACAGCCUCCAUGAGUUUUGUAUUGUUUUGAUAUAGCAAAUAGAAAGUAGUAGAAUCAAACCAUUCACACAAAAAACGAUAAAGCAACGGUGGAGGAGGUCGUACUAAUGUACCCUUUAACCGAGGCAGUGUUGUAGAUGUCGGCGAUUUAAGAGGCGACGUGUAGACGGAGAAUUAUUUUAGGUAUAUUACUGAUCUGUUCUUCGUCAUCUCGGGUCUCGCUUGAACUACACCGCUACUCCGAUCCGUUUCUCUUCCAAAGACUUGAGCAGAGGGCUCGCCAUCAUGCAAAACAGAAGUGUAGCUCAAAGACACGAUAUGAGCGACCUCAGAGCGAUCAGACUGAUUCAGACUCGAUCUUACUCGGUGUGAAAAUGCUCUUUAACUCCUGAUAGUGUAAACGAAGCCACAAACAUUCAGACAACUGUGAUUGACAAUCAGCAACAGUUU